rnacentral:lncRNA from 1 species
UUUUGUUUUGUUCUUCCUGAUUUUUGAGUGCAAUAGUCAAGCGAUAUUGAGCCACACCUGAAUCAUAUAUAGGACUAACCGCUUUCAAACAGUAAUUAUGUGAGAAAUAUAUCUGAAAUCAUAGUAUAUUGUAGACCUAUGUACAUUACUUGGCUAGGAAAAAAUAUAUAUAGGCCUAAAGCACCCGACGUAGAGCAGACACUUUACUUGUAUCGAUGGAUUAUUAAACUCGCUAUAACAUGUCAGACACACUUUUUUAAUGAAAAGUUGGGUAUUUAUUCUAGAUUUGCAGGAUUACAAUCGGCAGUGACUAGCUCAGCAAUACAAGGGAAAAUUGAUAAACAACAUGUCAAUGAGCUAAUGAGUCACACCAAAGCUCUUUGUAAACUUUUAGUAUGCUCUAGAGUUUCCGAUUUUUUACGUAUACCUAAUGAUAAUCUAGAAACCACUAUAUGAUUAUUUUUGAACUGGUCACAUUACAGAUCUCUAACAAGAUAUUUAAAGAUACAGACAAACAUAUAUAGACACAUAUUAUUUCGAGAUAGCAUGUCAUUUGUGCUUUCUUAUUUUGUCACAUUUACACGGAUUGAGUUUAAAUAUCUAUUUUAAGGUGCAUUGUACCAAAAAAAAAGAAUAUACCUUUCAUAAAAAAUAGGUCAAAUUUGACAUUAUGAAUGUGUUUUCUGAAAACAACAUAACACAAAUGUAUAAUAAAGAAUAUUAUUAGUUAACAUUGUGUAACUAACUAUACUAUAUAAUAUUGUGCUUUAAAAAAUGAGUUAUAAAUAAGUUAAAAAAUAACUGACGACAGAGACAGAUUUGCUGUCUGCGAUUUUUAUUACAGACGGUAAAGACUUACUUUGCCGUCUACGUUUUUUUUAUUACAUACGGCAAACACUUACUUUACCAUCUGUAGAAAGAACCGCAGACGGCAAUUUGCCGUCUGUAAUAAAAAUCGCAGACGACAAAGACAUACUUUGCCGUUUGUAAUUAAAACCGCAGACGACAAAGAAGAAACACACCUGGCGGAUCGAUCUCCUGGAUCGAUGAGGUGGCACAAUCGGCACCACACGUCUCCCUGAUCUCUCCCCCAUGCGGCCAGGCCCCCACCAUGUUCUAUCUUCCACACCCCUCACCACGUUCUCUCUCCCAACCGGCCCCACCUACUUCUCUUUCCCACACCCCGAUGUGUAGUUUUCAUUGCUAGCACCUCGUCCCACCCACCUCAACUAGUGAGUUGUGCAACUUUAGGGUGACGUCUAUAGACAACUUUUUUCUACCCUCAUGGUCUCAUGGAUAUACAAUUUUUUCACCAUCCAACAAAUCCCUGCCAGUGAGAUGUGCAAAUUAUCUGUUACCCAGGCCAACUGCAAGCAGACUAUGUGCAACUUCGCCUUUUACCCCUGCCAACUAAAACUACAUUUCCAUAAGUAGCAAAGGGAAGGAGUUGCACAUCGACUACUAGCAAGUUAGUGAAACAACAGACUAAGUUCGACAUAUAGCUGGUAGGGUAGGUCGAGCAUGGUGUGCCAGUAGUGAAAAACUACAUCAUCCACGAGUAGAGAGGAGAGGGUUGCACAUCGACUACUAGGUAGUUGGCCAAGGUAGUAGACUAGUUGCUUGCACAACAUAAAAAGUUUGAUGUCAUGGUUGCUUGGUUGCAAUAUCAUAAGAAUUUGGAUCAUGCAGCAGCAAACUUGGUUUACAAAAAAAUUGCACAAUCCAGUACUAAAGUUGCGCCAUGUAGUAAUAGAGUUGCACAAUAUAGCACCAAAGUUGGCAUAAAAAAUCCGUCAAAAUAUACCCAUGUGAGAUCUAGUUUCAAAAAUCUCGUCGCGAGGAUUCCAGCAGUGAAAACUGAUAUGAAUUCUGAAAAACAGUUUAAAAGAUAUGACUUUUUAAAAAUUUGAAAACCCGAAUAAAUGGACAUGCGCAUCCAUCUGACAAGGGAAUAAAUGCGGUGUCUUUCCCAUGUGACCAUCCCAUUAGUACAUGCCAUGUCACAAAUAAAGACAAAAUUUAGACCACAAGAUUACAUGCAUGCAUGCCUGUGUAAGACCGGCCGCUCGUUUUCUUUUGAUUAGUCCGUACACACUUUUUAGAAUUUAGGCCAAUUAAAUGACCAAUCUAUUAAGACCCUAGUUGGUGUGUAUCACUGACGGACCCGAUACCUCUUGUUGACUAUCUAACUAUUUCUUAAUUUUUUGACCUAUAUUUGGUCAUAAAUUUGCAAACAAAAUCUUGAACAAAUUCGAAAAAUGGAGUUGUGUAAGAGCUUUACUCAUAAGCCACAGGUUUUCUUAACAAAAUUUCAUGGAUUUGGCCCAGUUAGUCCAAGACCUUUUCGACAUCAUCCGGGGCAACAAAGAUGUUGAUGGGUUGGGUCUAUGGUCCAUUGGGCUGUUUUCAUUUCGUUGAAUCCUAAACUUGUCUACCCACGGAUACAACUCAAGCAACCCUCAUUCCAUCUAGGUUCAGACCCCAAGAUUUUUUUUAACAUCUAAUGCACUAAGCACAAAAAGAUCCCCAAAACAGGUGAAAAUUUAUUUAUUUAAAAAUGGUGCUAUGAUGGAUUUAUUUAUACAAAAAUAAUUAAAUUAAUUAUUUACAAUGCACAUAUGCUAUCUUUGGCUCUACAAGUCUGGCCAUGUGAGCAUUUUAUAUUUUGCUUACAUAUUUUUUUUUCUUAUAGUAAACAUCUUGCUUAAUUACUAACAUGAAAUAGUUUUUUAAUGAUGAAAACUUCCACACCAUGAUGUUACAAAACUACACAUCUCACUACUCAAGUAUGAAGAACUAUAUAUUCCCAAGCAUAUACGAAAAUUUGCAAGCGCGGACGAGCUCGGAAUCGCCAGGCGCUCGUUUCCUUGGGGAUAUGAGCUGCGUCAGGUAUUGUCGGGCGUAUGUAUAGAUCCUUAUUUUUCGGCCAUAUGGGUGGUGGCAGACCCUCGUGAAUAACGGACGGCCGUUUGCUGGACCGAUCUGUGCCAUUGGUCACAUUUUACAUGCAAGACGGUACGUAACGGGCGACCUGUGAACGUCUGCAACUGCGACUGGGGCACACCAGGUAGCUGCGAAAUACUAUAAUAGUAGUUCUUGCUAGAUUAGACCAUAUCGAAGUCAUACGACACAAACAGAGACUCGAUGUCCAUCACAUAUCAGGCUAAUACUGUUGCCAUGCGAUUGAGACACACACAUUCGCAGGUACUGGAACGAGAUACACUUUUUCGUGUGUGUAGAGCUAGCUAGCUACUCCAUCCAUGCAGCUUGAUUGAUUUACACUUUUUCGUGUGUCUAGAGCUAGCUAGCUACUCCAUCCAUGCAGCUUGAUUGAUUUACAAUUUUUCGUGUGUGUAGAGCUAGCUAGCUACUCCAUCCAUGCAGCUUGAUUGAUUGUAGUACGAGCAGCUUGCUGCUUGCUGCUAAAUAUCAAUGAAAAAAAUAACGCGCUACAGAAAAUAGCGUGGCCCCUGAAAAUAUGCUAUUAGCAUGCUAUAGCGCGCUAUAGCGUGCUAUUAGCGAGGCAUUGUACAUUGAUUUAUUUAGCGAGACAAUUCUCUAUAUGCUAUAGCGUGCUAUUAGCGGUGUUAUAGCGCGCUAUUUUUUUCAAUGCUAAAUAUGCACGGAAUGAGUUCUUGCUUGCGGCUGCAUUAGAUGGGUUCGCCGCCCGCAUCUGUUGGCAGUAGAUGGAUUCACCGGCGGCUUGCUGAUGCAUCUUCACGGAAUGUCUCGUGUUGUUGCACGCAACUGCCAAGACGAUGAGUCAACGGCCGUCGAUGAGCCAAGCUGCCAAAGGAUGGAAGGAGCAACAUAUGUUGGAAUACCAUGUAAUUUUGCUGUUGGUUUUUUCUCAACAACAAAGAAACUGUGCUUUUAGAUUGAAAAUCUCCCUGAUUGCUCGCCAUGCUCCGCCACUGGUUCCAGGGGCUAGAUGUGGUACUUACAGGUGUUGGGAGCAGUCUUGAGCAUGACACCAACCCACUGUCAGCACUGUGUUUCAAUUUGUGAUGUUGAUUAGUACUAGAAAACUGCCUGUUGAGCACGGAAAUGGAAUCCAGAACAAAAACACUAGGGAAUACCUGCUGCAGCUGGGAUGUACCCCAGAGUUUUAUGGCCAUGAAAAAGUAGCAACACGCUAGUCCGGAAAGAAUUCACAAAGACAUCGGCAUAUGCUGUGCAGAAUAAGCUUGCUGGUCCGGGUGUGCUUCUUUAUCAUUUGCCUACGGAUAGAGCAUGUCUGAAUAUUAUUAUUUUUGGUCGGAUCAAUACUUGUAAUUAUUUUUUUUACGGGAAUCAUAUGAGAGCCCAGUUCUUUUGCUAGAAUCUGAGGAUUCUCCCAGAAUCCGACCCCUACUCAGUUUCUCCCAGAAUCUUUGAGCCCCAUUUGUUUUACAAUCCUAUCUAAUUAGGGUCUAAUUAGAUAGGAUUGUAAAACAAAUGGGGCUCAAAGAUUCUGGGAGAAGCUGGGUAGGGGUCGGAUUCUGGGAGAAUCCCUAGAUUCUGACAAAAGAACUGGGCCGAAAUAUGAAAGGCAUUGUUUUCGUCAGUACAACUCCAUCCAAUAUUAGGGGCUGUUUGAAUCCGGGCCAAUGCUUACCAUACCAAAAAUUUGGCGUUGACUGAUUAUAUGGGCCAACUUUGGUUUGAAGCCCACACCAAUAUUUUGGUCGCUAGUUUUAGUUUUGCGCCCAUGGCAGGGGUGGCGGAUUCGUCCGCCAAACUAUUGGCUCGCCCUGAGUUGGCAGGCCCAUCAUGGGUGAAAUCCAAACAACCCCUUAGUGAACAUGCUUAAAGUUCUCAACCAACGUGCAUACUCCCUCCGUUCCAAAUUACUCGUCUCAGAAAUGGAUGUAUCUAAAACUAAAAUACAUCUAGAUACAUCCAUACCUGCGACAAGUAAUUCGGAACGGAGGGAGUACCUUUUAGUCAAUAGUGCACAAUUUGACAAUGAAUCACGUGCUAGAAAAACAAAAGGUAGGCUGUCUGGGGAAGUGACCUAAUAUCAGCAUCAAAAAUAAAAAAAUUACCAUAAAAGACAAUACCGUGAUCACGAUGUUGCUUUUUGCACAGGAUCAAUGACGACUAACCUUGUUUUCCUUUGGUUAUUGUACGCACACAAUUUGAUGUAGAGGAACUCUUGGUUGGGCAAUAUACAGUGUAAUGUGUGUAGUCAAACAAAACUUGUGUUCUUUUUGGCCCGUGGCACAAAAAUUGCAUUAUCAGCAAAAGGGGCUCGCUUCCACGGAUUUUGUGUUGGCACCAAAAGCCAAGCAAGUUUCCGUACAAAUAUUUCUAGUAUACCGUAAGUCAGUGUAUCUGAAUCUGUGAAAUUAACUACCAUGAAACCAAGCUAACGAAAAGGAGUAAAGAUAACAAUCAAGGUGGAGAUGCUAUGUCAGAAGCUGACACCUUAGUUACUUGACAGGUACUAGAGUACUUGAUAGGCAGCGACGGGAGGUUGGUUAAGCCAACAGGAGUGCUAUCGCGGCUACGUCCAAAGGGAAAGUGGAUAAACAGCAUGUUAAUGAGCUUGAGUCAUGGCAAGCUCUUUGUAAACUUUUAGUAUGCUCUAGAAUUUCCUAAUUGCGUACACCUAAUGAUAAUCUGGAAACCACUGUAUGAAUGUUCUAGAACCAGUCGCAUUAAAGAUCUCUACCAGGAUAUUUAAAGACACAGACAAACAUAUAUAGACACAAAUUAUUUCGAGAUAGCAUGUCAUUUGUGCUUUUUUAUUUUGUCUCAUUUACAUGAAUUGGGUUUGAAUAUCUAUUUAAGGUGCAUUGUACCGAAGAAACGAAUAUACCUUUCAUAUAAAAUAAGUCAAAAUUGACAUUAUGAUUGUGUUUUUUGAAAACAAGAUAAUACAAAUGUAUCAUAAAGAAUAUUAUUAUCAAAAUCUAACAUUAUCGUCAUCUGGUUCAUUGUGUAACUAACUACACUAUAUAAUGUUAUGCUUUAAUAAAAGUGAGUUAUAAAUAAGUUAAAAUUUAGUAUAUAUACAUUUAAUUCCAUUUUGCGGGUCAAAAUUUGACUGGAAAAUGCUCCCUCUAUGUCAUUUUUUAUUAAACAGUUCUGGUUUGCAAUUCACUAAGAACUCGGAUCAAAUAUUAGAAAAUGUGGAAGUGAUUAUAUGCAUGAAAUAUCUGAAAAAUUAAAGGACGUGUCUACCGAGCAGCCGUUGGCUCGGUAGCACUCCAGGGCAGUCUUUUUCUUUUUAGUAUAUUUCUGUCCUAAUCAAAUAGAUUAGGAAUAUUCUGUCCUUCUAAAAUAAAAUGCCAAAGACCAUGCACGUGAUUAGACAAAAUUUUAAAACAGGUAUGAACGCACUUUAUUUGGAUUUCAAAAUUUUAGAAAAGUCAUAAAUUUUAAACUGAACAUCGGAAUUAAGAUCCGCUUUCAACGUUGGAAUCCUCGUGACAUGCUCUUCAAAAGUAGAUCCCGCAUGAGUAUGUUUUGACAAACAUUUUUUGUACAAUUUUGUCCCCGUUUUGUGCAACUGUCUAGUUGUCGAUGUGUAACUACAUAAUAGUCGACGUGCAACUUCCUCUACCCAUGGACGUGGCGUUUUCACUGAUGGCACCUCGCCCCAAACUACCCACUAUCAACUGAGAUGUGCAACUUCGUCUACUGCCCCAACCAUCUGCCUGAUAGUCGAUGUGCAACUUUUCCCCUCUGGUUGGAAGUGUAAUUUUCAUUGUUUGCUGCCAUGGCUAACUGCCUAGCAAUGGAUGUGCAACUUCAGAUACUACCCCGGCCAGCUGCCUAACAGCGGAUGUGCAACUUUUUCCCGUACCCCAUGGCACUACGGGAAACAGAAGAUUUGUCGUCAGCAUUUCGUUGGGGUAGACGGCAAAGAAAGGGUUUGCCAUCAUCAGCAGACGACAAAGAAUAACUGACGACAAAGACAGAUUUGCUGUCUGCGAUUUUUAUUACAGACGGUAAAGACUUACUUUGCCGUCUACGUUUUUAUUACAUACGGCAAACACUUACUUUACCAUCUGUAGAAAGAACCGCAGACGGCAAUUUGCCGUCUGUAAUAAAAAUCGCAGACGACAAAGAGAUACUUUGCCGUUUGUAAUUAAAACCGCAGACGACAAAGAAGAAACACACCUGGCGGAUCGAUCUCCUGGAUCGAUGAGGUGGCACAAUCGAUACCACACGUCUCCCUGAUCUCUCCCCCACGCGGCCAGGCCCCCACCAUGUUCUAUCUUCCACACCCCUCACCACGUUCUCUCUCCCAACCGGCCCCACCUACUUCUCUUUCCCACACCCCGGUGUGUAGUUUUCAUUGCUAGCACCUCGUCCCACCCACCUCAACUAGUGAGUUGUGCAACUUUAGGGUGACGUCUAUAGACAACUUUUUUCUACCCUCAUGGUCUAAUGGAUGUACAAUUUUUUCACCAUCCAACAAAUCCNNNNNNNNNNNNNNNNNNNNNNNNNNNNNNNNNNNNNNNNNNNNNNNNNNNNNNNNNNNNNNNNNNNNNNNNNNNNNNNNNNNNNNNNNNNNNNNNNNNNCUAUUUUUUUCAAUGCUAAAUAUGCACGGAAUGAAUUCUUGCUUGCGGCUGCAUUAGAUGGGUUCGCCGGCUGCUUGCCGCAUCUGUUGGCAGUAGAUGGAUUCACCGGCGGCUUGCUGAUGCAUCUUCACGGAAUGUCUCGUGCUGUUGCACGCAACUGCCAAGACGAUGAGUCAACGGCCGUCGAUGAGCCAAGCUGCCAAAGGAUGGAAGGAGCAACAUAUGUUGGAAUACCAUGUAAUUUUGCUGUUGGUUUUUUCUCAACAACAAAGAAACUGUGCUUUUAGAUUGAAAAUCUCCCUGAUUGCUCGCCAUGCUCCGCCACUGGUUCCAGGGGCUAGAUGUGGUACUUACAGGUGUUGGGAGCAGUCUUGAGCAUGACACCAACCCACUGUCAGCACUGUGUUUCAAUUUGUGAUGUUGAUCAGUACUAGAAAACUGCCUGUUGAGCACGGAAAUGGAAUCCAGAACAAAAACACUAGGGAAUACCUGCUGCAGCUGGGAUGUACCCCAGAGUUGUAUGGCCAUGAAAAAGUAGCAACACGCUAGUCCGGAAAGAAUUCACAAAGACAUCGGCAUAUGCUGUGCAGAAUAAGCUUGCUGGUCCGGGUGUGCUUCUUUAUCAUUUGCCUACGGAUAGAGCAUGUCUGAAUAUUAUUAUUUUUGGUCGGAUCAAUACUUGUAAUUAUUUUUUUUACGGGAAUCAUAUGAGAGCCCAGUUCUUUUGCUAGAAUCUGAGGAUUCUCCCAGAAUCCGACCCCUACUCAGUUUCUCCCAGAAUCUUUGAGCCCCAUUUGUUUUACAAUCCUAUCUAAUUAGGGUAUAAUUAGAUAGGAUUGUAAAACAAAUGGGGCUCAAAGAUUCUGGGAGAAGCUGGGUAGGGGUCGGAUUCUGGGAGAAUCCCUAGAUUCUGACAAAAGAACUGGGCCGAAAUAUGAAAGGCAUUGUUUUCGUCAGUACAACUCCAUCCAAUAUUAGGGGCUGUUUGAAUCCGGGCCAAUGCUUACCAUACCAAAAAUUUGGCGUUGACUGAUUAUAUGGGCCAACUUUGGUUUGAAGCCCACACCAAUAUUUUGGUCGCUAGUUUUAGUUUUGCGCCCAUGGCAGGGGUGGCGGAUUCGUCCGCCAAACUAUUGGUUCGCCCUGAGUUGGCAGGCCCAUCAUGGGUGAAAUCCAAACAACCCCUUAGUGAACAUGCUUAAAGUUCUCAACCAACGUGCAUACUCCCUCCGUUCCAAAUUACUCGUCUCAGAAAUGGAUGUAUCUAAAACUAAAAUACAUCUAGAUACAUCCAUACCUGCGACAAGUAAUUCGGAACGGAGGGAGUACCUUUUAGUCAAUAGUGCACAAUUUGACAAUGAAAAAUCACGUGCUAGAAAAACAAAAGGUAGGCUGUCUGGGGAAGUGACCUAAUAUCAGCAUCAAAAAUAAAAAAAUUACCAUAAAAGACAAUACCGUGAUCACGAUGUUGCUUUUUGCACAGGAUCAAUGACGACUAACCUUGUUUUCCUUUGGUUAUUGUACGCACACAAUUUGAUGUAGAGGAACUCUUGGUUGGGCAAUAUACAGUGUAAUGUGUGUAGUCAAACAAAACUUGUGUUCUUUUUGGCCCGUGGCACAAAAAUUGCAUUAUCAGCAAAAGGGGCUCGCUUCCACGGAUUUUGUGUUGGCACCAAAAGCCAAGCAAGUUUCCGUACAAAUAUUUCUAGUAUACCGUAAGUCAGUGUAUCUGAAUCUGUGAAAUUAACUACCAUGAAACCAAGCUAACGAAAAGGAGUAAAGAUAACAAUCAAGGUGGAGAUGCUAUGUCAGAAGCUGACACCUUAGUUACUUGACAGGUACUAGAGUACUUGAUAGGCAGCGACGGGAGGUUGGUUAAGCCAACAGGAGUGCUAUCGCGGCUACGUCCAAAGGGAAAGUGGAUAAACAGCAUGUUAAUGAGCUUGAGUCAUGGCAAGCUCUUUGUAAACUUUUAGUAUGCUCUAGAAUUUCCUAAUUGCGUACACCUAAUGAUAAUCUGGAAACCACUGUAUGAAUGUUCUAGAACCAGUCGCAUUAAAGAUCUCUACCAGGAUAUUUAAAGACACAGACAAACAUAUAUAGACACAAAUUAUUUCGAGAUAGCAUGUCAUUUGUGCUUUUUUAUUUUGUCUCAUUUACAUGNNNNNNNNNNAUGAGUAUGUUUUGACAAACAUUUUUUUGUACAAUUUUGUCCCCGUUUUGUGCAACUGUCUAGUUGUCGAUGUGCAACUACAUAAUAGUCGACGUGCAACUUCCUCUACCCAUGGACGUGUCGUUUUCACUGAUGGUACCUCGCCCCAAACUACCCACUAUCAACUGAGAUGUGCAACUUCGUCUACUGCCCCAACCAUCUGCCUGAUAGUCGAUGUGCAACUUUUCCCCUCUGGUUGGAAGUGUAAUUUUCAUUGUUUGCUGCCAUGGCUAACUGCCUAGCAAUGGAUGUGCAACUUCAGAUACUACCCCGGCCAGCUGCCUAACAGCGGAUGUGCAACUUUUUCCCGUACCCCAUGGCACUACGGGAAACAGAAGAUUUGUCGUCAGCAUUUCGUUGGGGUAGACGGCAAAGAAAGGGUUUGCCAUCAUCAGCAGACGACAAAGAAUAACUGACGACAAAGACAGAUUUGCUGUCUGCGAUUUUUAUUACAGACGGCAAAGACUUACUUUGCCGUCUACGUUUUUAUUACAUACGGCAAACACUUACUUUACCAUCUGUAGAAAGAACCGCAGACGGCAAUUUGCCGUCUGUAAUAAAAAUCGCAGACGACAAAGAGAUACUUUGCCGUUUGUAAUUAAAACCGCAGACGACAAAGAAGAAACACACCUGGCGGAUCGAUCUCCUGGAUCGAUGAGGUGGCACAAUCGAUACCACACGUCUCCCUGAUCUCUCCCCCACGCGGCCAGGCCCCCACCAUGUUCUAUCUUCCACACCCCUCACCACGUUCUCUCUCCCAACCGGCCCCACCUACUUCUCUUUCCCACACCCCGGUGUGUAGUUUUCAUUGCUAGCACCUCGUCCCACCCACCUCAACUAGUGAGUUGUGCAACUUUAGGGUGACGUCUAUAGACAACUUUUUUCUACCCUCAUGGUCUCAUGGAUGUACAAUUUUUUCACCAUCCAACAAAUCCCUGCCAGUGAGAUGUGCAAAUUUAUCUGUUACCCAGGCCAACUGCAAGCAGACUAUGUGUAACUUCGCUUUUUACCCCUGCCAACUAAAACUACAUUUCCACAAGUAGCGAAGGGAAGGAGUUGCACAUCGACUACUAGCAAGUUAGUGAAACAACAGACUAAGUUCGACAUAUAGCUGGUAGGGUAGGUCGAGCAUGGUGUGCCAGUAGUGAAAAACUACAUCAUCCACGAGUAGAGAGGAGAGGGUUGCACGUCGACUACUAGGUAGUUGGCCGAGGUAGUAGACUAGUUGCACAACAUACAAAGUUUGAUGUCAUGGUUGCUUGGUUGCAAUAUCAUAAGAAUUUGGAUCAUGCAGCAGCAAACUUGGUUUACAAAAAAAUUGCACAAUCCAGUACUAAAGUUGCGCCAUGUAGUAAUAGAGUUGCACAAUAUAGCACCAAAGUUGGCAUAAAAAAUCCGUCAAAACAUACCCAUGUGAGAUCUAGUUUCAAAAAUCUCGUCGCGGGGAUUCCAGCAGUGAAAACUGAUCUGAAUUCUGAAAAACAGUUUAAAAGAUAUGACUUUUUAAAAAUUUGAAAACCCGAAUAAAUGGAUAUGCGCAUCCAUCUGACAAGGGAAUAAAUGCGGUGUCUUUCCCAUGUGACCAUCCCAUUAGUACAUGCCAUGUCACAAAUAAAGACAAAAUUUAGACCACAAGAUUACAUGCAUGCCUGUGUAAGACCGGCCGCUCGUUUCUUCUGAUUAGUGUGUACACACUUUUUAGAAUUUAGGCCAAUUAAAUGACCAAUCUAUUAAGACCCUAGUUGGUGUGUAUCACUGACGGACCCGAUACCUCUUGUUGACUAUCUAACUAUUUCUUAAUUUUUUGACCUAUAUUUGGUCAUAAAUUUGCAAACAAAAUCUUGAACAAAUUCGAGAAAUGGAGUUGUGUAAGAGCUUUACUCAUAAGCCACAGGUUUUUUUUAACAAAAUUUCAUGGAUUUGGCCCAGUUAGUCCAAGACCUUUUCGACAUCAUCCGGGGCAACAAAGAUGUUGAUGGGUUGGGUCUAUGGUCCAUUGGGCUGUUUUCAUUUCGUUGAAUCCUAAACUUGUCUACCUACGGAUACAACUCAAGCAACCCUCAUUCCAUCUAGGUUCAGACCCCAACAUUUUUUUAACAUCUAAUGCACUAAGCACAAAAAGAUCCCCAAAACAGGUGAAAAUUUAUUUAUUUAAAAAUGGUGCUAUGAUGGAUUUAUUUAUACAAAAAUAAUUAAAUUAAUUAUUUACAAUGCAAAUAUGCUAUCUUUGGCUCUACAAGUUUGGCCAUGUGAGCAUUUUAUAUUUUGCUUACAUUUUUUUUCUUAUAGUAAACAUCUUGCUUAAUUACUAACAUGAAAUAGUUUUUUAAUGAUGAAAACUUCCACACCAUGAUGUUACAAAACUACACAUCUCACUACUCAAGUAUGAAGAACUAUAUAUUCCCAAGCGUAUACGAAAAUUUGCAAGCGCGGACGAGCUCGCACGCUCUCGGAAUCGCCAGGCGCUCGUUUCCUUCGGGAUAUGAGCUGCGUCAGGUAUUGUCGGGCGUUUAUAUAGAUCCUUAUUUUUCGGCCAUAUGGGUGGUGGCAGACCCUCGUGCAUAACGGACGGCCGUUUGCUGGACCGAUCUGUGCCAUUGGUCACGUUUUACAUGCAAGACGGUACGUAACGGGCGACCUGUGAACGUCUGCAACUGCGACUGGGGCACACCAGGUAGCUGCGAAAUAAAUAAUAGUAGUUCUUGCUAGAUUAGACCAUAUCGAAGUCAUACGACACAAACAGAGACUCGAUGUCCGUCACAUAUCAGGCUAAUACUCUUGCCAUGCGAUUGAGACACACACAUUCACAGGUACUGGAACGAGAUACACUUUUUCGUGUGUGUAGAGCUAGCUAGCUACUCCAUCCAUGCAGCUUGAUUGAUUUACACUUUUUCGUGUGUCUAGAGCUAGCUAGCUACUCCAUCCAUGCAGCUUGAUUGAUUUACAAUUUUUCGUGUGUGUAGAGCUAGCUAGCUACUCCAUCCAUGCAGCUUGAUUGAUUGUAGUACGAGCAGCUUGCUGCUUGCUGCUAAAUAUCAAUGAAAAAAAUAACGCGCUACAGAAAAUAGCGUGGCCCCUGAAAAUAUGCUAUUAGCAUGCUAUAGCGCGCUAUAGCGUGCUAUUAGCGAGGCAUUAUACAUUGAUUUAUUUAGCGAGACAAUUCUCUAUAUGCUAUAGCGUUCUAUUAGCGGUGUUAUAGCGCGCUAUUUUUUUCAAUGCUAAAUAUGCACGGAAUGAAUUCUUGCUUGCGGCUGCAUUAGAUGGGUUCGCCGGCUGCUUGCCGCAUCUGUUGGCAGUAGAUGGAUUCACCGGCGGCUUGCUGAUGCAUCUUCACGGAAUGUCUCGUGCUGUUGCACGCAACUGCCAAGACGAUGAGUCAACGGCCGUCGAUGAGCCAAGCUGCCAAAGGAUGGAAGGAGCAACAUAUGUUGGAAUACCAUGUAAUUUUGCUGUUGGUUUUUUCUCAACAACAAAGAAACUGUGCUUUUAGAUUGAAAAUCUCCCUGAUUGCUCGCCAUGCUCCGCCACUGGUUCCAGGGGCUAGAUGUGGUACUUACAGGUGUUGGGAGCAGUCUUGAGCAUGACACCAACCCACUGUCAGCACUGUGUUUCAAUUUGUGAUGUUGAUCAGUACUAGAAAACUGCCUGUUGAGCACGGAAAUGGAAUCCAGAACAAAAACACUAGGGAAUACCUGCUGCAGCUGGGAUGUACCCCAGAGUUGUAUGGCCAUGAAAAAGUAGCAACACGCUAGUCCGGAAAGAAUUCACAAAGACAUCGGCAUAUGCUGUGCAGAAUAAGCUUGCUGGUCCGGGUGUGCUUCUUUAUCAUUUGCCUACGGAUAGAGCAUGUCUGAAUAUUAUUAUUUUUGGUCGGAUCAAUACUUGUAAUUAUUUUUUUUACGGGAAUCAUAUGAGAGCCCAGUUCUUUUGCUAGAAUCUGAGGAUUCUCCCAGAAUCCGACCCCUACUCAGUUUCUCCCAGAAUCUUUGAGCCCCAUUUGUUUUACAAUCCUAUCUAAUUAGGGUCUAAUUAGAUAGGAUUGUAAAACAAAUGGGGCUCAAAGAUUCUGGGAGAAGCUGGGUAGGGGUCGGAUUCUGGGAGAAUCCCUAGAUUCUGACAAAAGAACUGGGCCGAAAUAUGAAAGGCAUUGUUUUCGUCAGUACAACUCCAUCCAAUAUUAGGGGCUGUUUGAAUCCGGGCCAAUGCUUACCAUACCAAAAAUUUGGCGUUGACUGAUUAUAUGGGCCAACUUUGGUUUGAAGCCCACACCAAUAUUUUGGUCGCUAGUUUUAGUUUUGCGCCCAUGGCAGGGGUGGCGGAUUCGUCCGCCAAACUAUUGGCUCGCCCUGAGUUGGCAGGCCCAUCAUGGGUGAAAUCCAAACAACCCCUUAGUGAACAUGCUUAAAGUUCUCAACCAACAUGCAUACUCCCUCCGUUCCAAAUUACUCGUCUCAGAAAUGGAUGUAUCUAAAACUAAAAUACAUCUAGAUACAUCCAUACCUGCGACAAGUAAUUCGGAACGGAGGGAGUACCUUUUAGUCAAUAGUGCACAAUUUGACAAUGAAAAAUCACGUGCUAGAAAAACAAAAGGUAGGCUGUCUGGGGAAGUGACCUAAUAUCAGCAUCAAAAAUAAAAAAAUUACCAUAAAAGACAAUACCGUGAUCACGAUGUUGCUUUUUGCACAGGAUCAAUGACGACUAACCUUGUUUUCCUUUGGUUAUUGUACGCACACAAUUUGAUGUAGAGGAACUCUUGGUUGGGCAAUAUACAGUGUAAUGUGUGUAGUCAAACAAAACUUGUGUUCUUUUUGGCCCGUGGCACAAAAAUUGCAUUAUCAGCAAAAGGGGCUCGCUUCCACGGAUUUUGUGUUGGCACCAAAAGCCAAGCAAGUUUCCGUACAAAUAUUUCUAGUAUACCGUAAGUCAGUGUAUCUGAAUCUGUGAAAUUAACUACCAUGAAACCAAGCUAACGAAAAGGAGUAAAGAUAACAAUCAAGGUGGAGAUGCUAUGUCAGAAGCUGACACCUUAGUUACUUGACAGGUACUAGAGUACUUGAUAGGCAGCGACGGGAGGUUGGUUAAGCCAACAGGAGUGCUAUCGCGGCUACGUCCAAAGGGAAAGUGGAUAAACAGCAUGUUAAUGAGCUUGAGUCAUGGCAAGCUCUUUGUAAACUUUUAGUAUGCUCUAGAAUUUCCUAAUUGCGUACACCUAAUGAUAAUCUGGAAACCACUGUAUGAAUGUUCUAGAACCAGUCGCAUUAAAGAUCUCUACCAGGAUAUUUAAAGACACAGACAAACAUAUAUAGACACAAAUUAUUUCGAGAUAGCAUGUCAUUUGUGCUUUUUUAUUUUGUCUCAUUUACAUGGAUUGGGUUUGAAUAUCUAUUUAAGGUGCAUUGUACCGAAGAAACGAAUAUACCUUUCAUAUAAAAUAAGUCAAAAUUGACAUUAUGAUUGUGUUUUUUGAAAACAAGAUAAUACAAAUGUAUCAUAAAGAAUAUUAUUAUCAAAAUCUAACAUUAUCGUCAUCUGGUUCAUUGUGUAACUAACUACACUAUAUAAUGUUAUGCUUUAAUAAAAGUGAGUUAUAAAUAAGUUAAAAUUUAGUAUAUAUACAUUUAAUUCCAUUUUGCGGGUCAAAAUUUGACUGGAAAAUGCUCCCUCUAUGUCAUUUUUUAUUAAACAGUUCUGGUUUGCAAUUCACUAAAAACUCGGAUCAAAUAUUAGAAAAUGUGGAAGUGAUUAUAUUCAUGAAAUAUCUGAAAAAUUAAAGGACGUGUCUACCGAGCAGCCGUUGGCUCGGUAGCACUCCAGGGCAGUCUUUUUCUUUUUAGUAUAUUUCUGUCCUAAUCAAAUAGAUUAGGAAUAUUCUGUCCUUCUAAAAUAAAAUGCCAAAGACCAUGCACGUGAUUAGACAAAAUUUUAAAACAGGUAUGAACGCACUUUAUUUGGAUUUCAAAAUUUUAGAAAAGUCAUAAAUUUUAAACUGAACAUCGGAAUUAAGAUCCGCUUUCACCGUUGGAAUCCUCGUGACAUGCUCUUCAAAAGUAGAUCCCGCAUGAGUAUGUUUUGACAAACAUUUUUUUGUACAAUUUUGUCCCCGUUUUGUGCAACUGUCUAGUUGUCGAUGUGCAACUACAUAAUAGUCGACGUGCAACUUCCUCUACCCAUGGACGUGUCGUUUUCACUGAUGGUACCUCGCCCCAAACUACCCACUAUCAACUGAGAUGUGCAACUUCGUCUACUGCCCCAACCAUCUGCCUGAUAGUCGAUGUGCAACUUUUCCCCUCUGGUUGGAAGUGUAAUUUUCAUUGUUUGCUGCCAUGGCUAACUGCCUAGCAAUGGAUGUGCAACUUCAGAUACUACCCCGGCCAGCUGCCUAACAGCGGAUGUGCAACUUUUUCCCGUACCCCAUGGCACUACGGGAAACAGAAGAUUUGUCGUCAGCAUUUCGUUGGGGUAGACGGCAAAGAAAGGGUUUGCCAUCAUCAGCAGACGACAAAGAAUAACUGACGACAAAGACAGAUUUGCUGUCUGCGAUUUUUAUUACAGACGGUAAAGACUUACUUUGCCAUCUACGUUUUUAUUACAUACGGCAAACACUUACUUUACCAUCUAUAGAAAGAACCGCAGACGGCAAUUUGCCGUCUGUAAUAAAAAUCGCAGACGACAAAGAGAUACUUUGCCGUUUGUAAUUAAAACCGCAGACGACAAAGAAGAAACACACCUGGCGGAUCGAUCUCCUGGAUCGAUGAGGUGGCACAAUCGAUACCACACGUCUCCCUGAUCUCUCCCCCACGCGGCCAGGCCCCCACCAUGUUCUAUCUUCCACACCCCUCACCACGUUCUCUCUCCCAACCGGCCCCACCUACUUCUCUUUCCCACACCCCGGUGUGUAGUUUUCAUUGCUAGCACCUCGUCCCACCCACCUCAACUAGUGAGUUGUGCAACUUUAGGGUGACGUCUAUAGACAACUUUUUUCUACCCUCAUGGUCUAAUGGAUGUACAAUUUUUUCACCAUCCAACAAAUCCACGAGUAGUGAGGAGAGGGUUGCACGUCGACUACUAGGUAGUUGGCCGAGGUAGUAGACUAGUUGCACAACAUACAAAGUUUGAUGUCAUGGUUGCUUGGUUGCAAUAUCAUAAGAAUUUGGAUCAUGCAGCAGCAAACUUGGUUUACAAAAAAAUUGCACAAUCCAGUACUAAAGUUGCGCCAUGUAGUAAUAGAGUUGCACAAUAUAGCACCAAAGUUGGCAUAAAAAAUCCGUCAAAACAUACCCAUGUGAGAUCUAGUUUCAAAAAUCUCGUCGCGGGGAUUCCAGCAGUGAAAACUGAUCUGAAUUCUGAAAAACAGUUUAAAAGAUAUGACUUUUUAAAAAUUUGAAAACCCGAAUAAAUGGACAUGCGCAUCCAUCUGACAAGGGAAUAAAUGCGGUGUCUUUCCCAUGUGACCAUCCCAUUAGUACAUGCCAUGUCACAAAUAAAGUCAAAAUUUAGACCACAAGAUUACAUGCAUGCCUGUGUAAGACCGGCCGCUCGUUUCUUCUGAUUAGUGUGUACACACUUUUUAGAAUUUAGGCCAAUUAAAUGACCAAUCUAUUAAGACCCUAGUUGGUGUGUAUCACUGACGGACCCGAUACCUCUUGUUGACUAUCUAACUAUUUCUUAAUUUUUUGACCUAUAUUUGGUCAUAAAUUUGCAAACAAAAUCUUGAACAAAUUCGAGAAAUGGAGUUGUGUAAGAGCUUUACUCAUAAGCCACAGGUUUUUUUAACAAAAUUUCAUGGAUUUGGCCCAGUUAGUCCAAGACCUUUUCGACAUCAUCCGGGGCAACAAAGAUGUUGAUGGGUUGGGUCUAUGGUGCAUUGGGCUGUUUUCAUUUCGUUGAAUCCUAAACUUGUCUACCUACGGAUACAACUCAAGCAACCCUCAUUCCAUCUAGGUUCAGACCCCAAGAUUUUUUUAACAUCUAAUGCACUAAGCACAAAAAGAUCCCCAAAACAGGUGAAAAUUUAUUUAUUUAAAAAUGGUGCUAUGAUGGAUUUAUUUAUACAAAAAUAAUUAAAUUAAUUAUUUACAAUGCAAAUAUGCUAUCUUUGGCUCUACAAGUUUGGCCAUGUGAGCAUUUUAUAUUUUGCUUACAUAUUUUUUUUUCUUAUAGUAAACAUCUUGCUUAAUUACUAACAUGAAAUAGUUUUUUAAUGAUGAAAACUUCCACAGCAUGAUGUUACAAAACUACACAUCUCACUACUCAAGUAUGAAGAACUAUAUAUUCCCAAGCAUAUACGAAAAUUUGCAAGCACGGACGAGCUCGCACGCUCUCGGAAUCGCCAGGCGCUCGUUUCCUUCGGGAUAUGAGCUGCGUCAGGUAUUGUCGGGCGUAUACAUAGAUCCUUAUUUUUCGGCCAUAUGGGUGGUGGCAGACCCUCGUGCAUAACGGACGGCCGUUUGCUGGACCGAUCUAUGCCAUUGGUCACGUUUUACAUGCAAGACGGUACGUAACGGGCGACCUGUGAACGUCUGCAACUGCGACUGGGGCACACCAGGUAGCUGCGAAAUAAAUAAUAGUAGUUCUUGCUAGAUUAGACCAUAUCGAAGUCAUACGACACAAACAGAGACUCGAUGUCCGUCACAUAUCAGGCUAAUACUCUUGCCAUGCGAUUGAGACACACACAUUCACAGGUACUGGAACAAGAUACACUUUUUCGUGUGUGUAGAGCUAGCUAGCUACUCCAUCCAUGCAGCUUGAUUGAUUUACACUUUUUCGUGUGUCUAGAGCUAGCUAGCUACUCCAUCCAUGCAGCUUGAUUGAUUUACAAUUUUUCGUGUGUGUAGAGCUAGCUAGCUACUCCAUCCAUGCAGCUUGAUUGAUUGUAGUACGAGCAGCUUGCUGCUUGCUGCUAAAUAUCAAUGAAAUAAAUAACGCGCUACAGAAAAUAGCGUGGCGCCUGAAAAUAUGCUAUUAGCAUGCUAUAGCGCGCUAUAGCGUGCUAUUAGCGAGGCAUUAUACAUUGAUUUAUUUAGCGAGACAAUUCUCUAUAUGCUAUAGCGUGCUAUUAGCGGUGUUAUAGCGCUCUAUUUUUUUCAAUGCUAAAUAUGCACGGAAUGAAUUCUUGCUUGCGGCUGCAUUAGAUGGGUUCGCCGGCUGCUUGCCGCAUCUGUUGGCAGUAGAUGGAUUCACCGGCGGCUUGCUGAUGCAUCUUCACGGAAUGUCUCGUGCUGUUGCACGCAACUGCCAAGACGAUGAGUCAACGGCCGUCGAUGAGCCAAGCUGCCAAAGGAUGGAAGGAGCAACAUAUGUUGGAAUACCAUGUAAUUUUGCUGUUGGUUUUUUCUCAACAACAAAGAAACUGUGCUUUUAGAUUGAAAAUCUCCCUGAUUGCUCGCCAUGCUCCGCCACUGGUUCCAGGGGCUAGAUGUGGUACUUACAGGUGUUGGGAGCAGUCUUGAGCAUGACACCAACCCACUGUCAGCACUGUGUUUCAAUUUGUGAUGUUGAUCAGUACUAGAAAACUGCCUGUUGAGCACGGAAAUGGAAUCCAGAACAAAAACACUAGGGAAUACCUGCUGCAGCUGGGAUGUACCCCAGAGUUGUAUGGCCAUGAAAAAAUAGCAACACGCUAGUCCGGAAAGAAUUCACAAAGACAUCGGCAUAUGCUGUGCAGAAUAAGCUUGCUGGUCCGGGUGUGCUUCUUUAUCAUUUGCCUACGGCCAACUCCAUCGCACGACCCCAAACGAACGUCCGGUUCGGCCUGAUUUUGUCCCUUUGGUGCUGCAAUGGGUUCGCCCAUGUCCGCCUCUGUCCGUUGGGUCAUGGGUGCGCCCAGUGCGCGGCAGCACCUCAAAUCAUGUCUGUGUUGGACAUGAUAAAAAAAACAAAAAAACUAAAAUAAAAUGACUUCAAAAAGUAAAUAAACGCAGUUAAAAAAACUUAAAACUUAAUUUAAGGGGUCAUGGGCACAAAACGGCCCAGUUCUACGGUUCACUUAACGGCCUAGUAGCAUAAUUAACAUAAAAACGAAAAAAAACGCUGCCCGCGCGCUCCUGCCGUGCCCGUCGAUGCGGCGGCUAUCGCCGUCUUCAGUGGCCGCCGGUGUCGUCGUCGUCGCUGUUGAGGUCGACGUAGUCCGGCGGCGUCCAGAGGUGGGCCGGCGGUCCGUGGUGCACGGGGGGCGGUGGGCUGGAAGGUGGCAGGUGCGUGCACCACCUCCUCCCGUGGCGAGGCGCCCCGCUCCGGUGACCGCGGCGGCGUGGGGCACCAGUUCACGCCCCCCACGGCGGCCGCCAUCUGCUCUGCCGUGCACGACCAGCUCCACCCCUGGCCCACCAGGCCCGGGUGGAACGCGGCCACCGGCGGCUCCUCCAUCACCUCCUCCUUCGGCACCAUCUCCAGCUCGGGGAUGGCGACGUCGCCGGCCGCGGAGAGGGCCGUCAUCUCCUCGAGGCCCUUCCAUUGGCGCUCGUCGUGCGUGUGCAUGAUGUCCUCCAUGACACGCGCCAUGAGACGGGCCUCCUCCUCCGCUGUCAUGCGAGGAGGUGGUGGUGGCGAUGGAGAUGGAGAUGGCGACGGCAUGGACGUGCCGGCGAAGAAGGACGCCCGCCGCAUGUCGUGCUCAUCCCGGAACCAAGUGUCCCACAGGGGCGAGUCGGGGGCGUACCUCUCAUCGUAGUAGAAGUCGUCCGGGAGGAGGCGCUGACGGCGCUCGAUCUCCUGGCGGCACGCACGGCCGCUCAGCAGGACCGGCGGGAUCGGCGCGCGGUCGGCCGACAAGUGCCAGUUGUUGGGGAGGUGGACGUCGCUCCAGGGUAGCGGCGUCAUCGUCUCCCAAUAGCAGCGGCAUACGGCCGCCUCGAUGUAGUGCCGGUCGCGCUCGCCGGCGACCGUGGGCGCGAUGGAGAACGCGGGCGGCGCGGGGCCCGACGUGGUGGUGAUGCGGGCUCCUCCUUCUUCAUAGAGCCACGGCGACGCCCCGGCGAGGAGCCAGCCUCGCGGUCAUGCUUCCCCUUCCGGCCGUAGUUCCAUAGGCCCAUGGCUGCGAGGUGGCCGGCCGGCGAGUUCGAGGCGAGGCUAGGGUUUGGGGUUGUCGGGUUUCGAGGAGGCCGCGGGGUGGAGUAAGGGAGUGUGGACGACGACCGGUCCACGGGUUCCCAUUUAAGAAGGACCGCGACCGUUCGCCUGGGCGGAUGACAAGGCGGGCUGCCCGCGCGUGCGCGUUGAUGUGGGCGGGUAGGAGGUAGGUGGCCGCCUGCCACGCAGCCCUGACGCGUACAAGGCGCGUGUCCGUUUGGUGUUCGCCGCGACCCAAACCCGGCGCAUGUUUGUGCUCGAAAUGGGUCGGCCCGGACACAAAACGAACCAGACGGGUCCAGCCUGUCGCGCGCUGGACCGACCGGUUUGUCCCUUUUACCCCAAACGGACAGGGCCGGACAAAAUGGGGUCGCGCGGUGGAGUUGGCCUAAUCAGGACGGACACCAACAUUGGGUCCAUCACCUACAAAGUUUUUGCGUUCAAUAUAUGCCUCAUAAAGGCACCAGCCAUCGUCCACUAUCAGCGCCUCCAUGAACUGGAAAAUGGAAAUGAUGUGAAAAGCCUUGCAUGUUCAUCCGAGUCACGAUACUGUGCAUCACGCUUUGUAGGCUCACUUACCUUUUAGCAUUCGCACAAGUCGUACCGGAGUUUCUGCUUGUUGAACAUCCCGAAUAUCCUGUCCCAGCGAGGUUUCUUUUGGCCACACAUGAAUUCAUCCUGCAUUGUUUCAUAGAAUGUAAAUUAUGAUAAUUCGAAGCAUUAAGCACUGGACAAAUGGCAUUGAAGGGGGUGCUAACGGUAUGCGCCGCGAAACUCGGGUUCAUCAAACACCGUGAGCGGGGAGCUCCUCCUGGGUAAAGCUUGUCGUCUUUGAAGUUUCAACUGCAUCAUGCGGACGGAUGCGCCCAUCCCACGAUCUGGCCCAUAGUUUGCCAACAUGGCAAGCCCGUCUAGCUCCCGCUUGUAAGGCUCACGGUUUGAAAACCACUUUCUGCAACAUGUGGGGAUUCAUUUUACAGCGAAAAAGGUACUCGGAACAAAUGUACAAUGCACAUGUGUGUGCCACCACCCUAAACAAUCACACAAACCCGCGUCGAGAAUAAACCAACUGCAGGAAUCUCAUUUCAUAUUCCUGGCUCCACUAGCGACUUGGAACCUGGCCUCACAUAUAUAUUAAGGUAUCAUGGUCGUAUACUAUUUGUUUUAACAUUUGCCAUGAUUGGUAAACACAAUUUGUUUCGAGAAUUGCCAUGAGAUAACAAUAAUUUUGUCUCAAGAUGUUGCUGUGAUUUAGAAAACACAAUUCGUAAAAUUGUUAUUCGUAAAAUUGUUGUGUCAUAGUUACAAAUUUUCCUAAAAUUGGCCAUGUGAUGGGAAAUAUGAUGUUCGGAAUUUGUUGUGUGGCCCAUAGAAAUUCUUUCAAACUUGUCAUGUUAUAGAGAAAAAAAUUUGCUCACGAAUGUCACGGACCACUACGAGACAUUUUCAAAAAAUUGCCAACGUAGAUACAAAUCAGUACACACUACUACAACGCAUCAGAUGCUAUUUGCAAAAAAAAAAAAACUCUUAAGAUGUCGUCUUCCUGUCAGACCCCUAUGUUUUUUUAAUAGAGAAAGGCGCCAAAAGCGCCAUAUAUUUUAGCUCAUGAAGAUAACACAUUGUCAAUUACAUAACCCUACUAGGGAUAACAAAGAAGAAAAUCUUGUAUUACAGGGCAAUUCUUUCUGAAAUGAGCUGAGUAGAACACAUUUAAAGAUAGGUUCAAGCAGAAGCAUAUGAACCUGAUGUACACAAACGAAGAGGAACACCCAAGAUAGGAUGUCCCAGAGGCCGCUCGAACCCCACCAACGGCCCCUUGGCCGGUCGGAGGUCCAGCGCGCCGAGGCCGUCGGUCGCCACAUGCUCCUCCUGCUCCGCUCUCUUCCGCUUCUGCGCGGGUGAGGCGGCCUCACGGGCCAGCGGCGGCCGGUAGGUGCGCGCGAGCAACUGCAAGCAAGACGGCCCCGGUGAUGCGUCCGCGCGUGCGUCUCCUGGUGUGUGUGUGUUGUGUUUGUUGGCGGCGGGGGUGGGAGAGAGCUGUACAAAUCGGAUGGUACAUGCAGUCCAAGUCUUUUAACACCGUGCGCCAUAACCCCGCUGUACCGACCAAUGCCUUUAUAUUAACUACCUACACUUUUAACCCACACCGUAUUUCCACGAUUCAUUAAUGUCAUCCACAUGUGCACGCUGUACCGACCAAUGCAGACGAGUGUGAUCUCAGCGCAGGCCAGGAGGACGCGGGCGCCGCGGUUGUUCUCGGCGAGCUCCCUGGCGAGGCCCAGCGCCCUGCCGCCGCCGUAGCAGCCGUGGAGGCUGAGGAUGGUGCGGUUGACCGUGGGGCGGAGGCCGAGCAGCGUGGCGAGCCGCAGGUCGGCGCUCGGGGCACCCCAGGCGGAGUAGGUGCUGAAGAUGAGGUGGGUGAUCUCGCUCGCCGGGCGGCCCCACUCGGCGAUGGCCUCGGCCGCCGCGCACUUCGCCAGCUUCGGCACCGCGUCGACGGUCAUGGCGAGGCGGUUGUCCAGCGACGACGCGUCGUGGUCGUACAGCUCCGGGUGCGCCGCCAGCGUCUCCUCCGUCAGGUGGAAGUGGCGCUUGUCGAUGCCCGUCUUCUCGCCUGCAACCAAAAAAGAAGCAUAAAUCAGUAGCAGAAAAAACAAGCAUGCAUGCAGAUUCGUGCUCCUAUAGUCAACGUGGUGAACAGGGAAGAACAUAGUACGUACAGAUUCUGGUCAGCUUCUGCUGGAGCUCAGUGAGGUGGUCGCUCUUGGUGACGCGGAAGAGGUUCUCGGCGAAGAUGUUCUGGGGCACCUCGACGCCAGUGGGGUUCGCCGUGCCGAUGCCGAGCAUGGCCGCGGGGCCUUCGGCGUGCUGCCGCCGCGCCACCGCGGCACCACCGUGCCCGAUCCCGUUGCCGUUGGCGGUUCCGAUGCUUCCCAUGGCCGAUCUUUCGGAAGCAGGAGCACUACUCUUGUUUGCUGGGCAGGGAUCACUAGUCGCUAGCUUUGUGAUCGAAUGAAGCUUCAAUGGCAUGCAGCAGCUUGGUCUAAUGGGGUAUGUGCUGGGCUCAGGAUUUAUAGUCUGUUUCCUUGGCUGGCUGGCUGGCUGCAAGCUGAACUGUCUGUUGGAGUGGCGGCCCUGGCAUUAAUUAUCGGCCCCUCAGACGCAGCUUCGGACGCAGCCUCCGAUGCAGCUUUCCUCGGACAAAAAAAUGGGUAAAGCUCAACUCCAUUUGGCUUUCACCAAUCCCAUGCAUGGAAUUGGGAGGUGAAGGAAAUGGGUUAAAAUUAAUUCCUUUGAAUUUCUGUUCCUGGCACAAUGGAUGGGGGCACUCCUCGCACGGUUAAAACAGCAUGCCAAUGACAUGGAAGAUGCAAGGUCAAACCAAUUUGCUAGUGGUAAAUCACAAAGAGGCAUGUCCUUGUUUUUUGAUGGAAAGGGGAGGAUAAACCUCCUGGCCUAUGGAUGGUUAUCGAUGCUUUUAGCCCAUCACUUGGUCACUGGUACUCCUUCUCUAUCCAAAUAUAUAGCACCUAUAAUCCGUCUUUCGAGUUUACUUUUGACCAUAGGUUAGAGCAAUUAUAUAUGACAUGCAUGUUACACAAAGCAAUACCAUCAAAUUCAUAUAUGGAAGAAGUUUCUAAUGAUAUAAUUUUUGUAUCAUAUAUCUUAUAUAUUAUUCAUCUUGUCAAUGAUCAAAUGCAAGUUCAAAAAACGUAUUAUGCCCUACAUAUUUGGAUGAAGGGAGUUAGCAUUACUACCGUUUGGCUCUCAGCCAUGACAUAUGUGAGUAUGGACUGGUCACGAAUGAUAGUGUUUGUAGUAGAGUGCACGGUUUUGUUAUAACACGUAUCUCGCUAUCCGCUUGGGCUUGGAAAGCCACCAUCCCGAAGUGGGCAUAGUAGGAACACAUGGACCACCGUACUUGUCUUUGAGUUAGACGGAAUGUGUGUGCAGCUGAUGGUUUGACCUCCUCGAUAAUUCUUUAUGACAUUAAAGACUUGAGAGACACCUUCCCCAUGAUGGCGUAGUGGCACACAUUGCAUUGUUCAUGAUCUAGCAUUAUGUAUUAGCAGCAUGAAUAUCGCUUAGAGGAUAUAUAUACAUUUGAUCUUCUUGUUCGUCCACUAGAUUAAGAGGUCAAAGGUCACAGAUUGGACUCGGGAGUCGUGAUGCUGGGUAGGUAGAGCGGGAUUUUACUCCUUCAUCAACAUCCAAGGCAAAGUACAUACUGAAUCCUGGAAGCGAGAUCUACCAUUUCUAGAGCAAGCCUAGAACGAUCGAGUGAGGGAAGUUCAAAACAUGGUUCUUACAAGAAACGAGUCGUGGAAGUCCCUACAAGCACAUCUUGCAAGGGCAUGAGCUACAACCCUGGAGUUCCUUGAAAAUAUAGUGACUAUCAAAUCCUUGUGUCGUUGAUUGAAUAAAUAAGCAAGGAAAGAUCUAUAUGGUAGGCGAUUGCUGGUUGAAGCGACAUCCAAAAGAGUUCUCCAACCUAUCAGGAAGGAUAGCUCUCUCUAAGAGAGAGCUCGGACUGUUUGCAUUCCAAGGACAAUCGCUUGAGCCUUGGAUUAUAACACAUAAUCAACAAGCAAGGAGAAAACUUGGAUGUAAAUGGAGAAUUAUAAGUAAUAUCAUCAAAAAGAAAACUUCAAGUCUAGCAACAUUCCCUACCUGGGAAGGGUUGAAUGCCACAUUCAAAAAUGCUCGAGGAUCUAGAGAAAGAGAAGAAAUAGAACCAGAACAAGCAUGAUUAGGAGGGAGGUUAGAUUUGUAAUUCGAAUCCUGGUCUGUCACGGAUUCAUUUGUGUCAUGGAAAGAAAAUCAUUGGAAGCACAUAUGGUUGGUAAAUUAACCAACAUAUUUGCCUUAAGAGCAUGCAAUAUAGAGCUUUCUAAAUUUCCAAUAGAACGUGUAGAUAUCUUCAAGAGAGGCUUCAAGAUGUGAGUUAGAAAAUAGGCUUUGAAUAAUGGAGGAGUGAUAAAUUUUAGGUGCAAAUUAAGUAAAUUAUACCGAUCUAAGUCCCCAACAAAAGCAAAGCGCCCUAGCAAAAGAAACUUUGACGAAGAUGAGAAUCGGAAUUAAGUAAUUAACAUCUACGUCAUUGCUCUGUGAUGUGUGUAUAGAAUCAUGAAGUUUGCAAACAUGAUGGAAGAGCUAUCCUGAACAGCCUCCAAGCAAAUGAUUUUACCCUAGGUGGAAAAUUUUGCUUUCCAAACCUUGGGAAGGAGUGUAAUCUAGUGUCUUGAUUCUUGCAUGCCGAGCAUGGCAGCCUGCUAAAUGUUUUGUAUUCACUCUUGGUCAUAUAUUGGACAUUAGGAUUAUGUACCCAACAAACAAUUCAUCUGCAAAAGUUAGCACCAGUGAUGGGAAUUUGAAUAAUUUGAUUUUUUAACCAUCAUGAAAGUGAGCUGAAAUUUUGUGAAUGUUACAUGCGCCAGAAUUUUCCGGCCAAAGAUGACAAGAGUAGAGAUAUAAGUUGAUCGUAGAUGGGGUUCCAAGUAGGAUGCCAAUAGUAAAACAUAUGCUAGAGUUACCUUUGGUGAUUUGCAGGUGACAAGAAUGAAGCAUAUGAGGCAAGACUUUAGGCCAAUCUUAGAGAUAUAUUGCUUGUUUGUGCAUAUGGUUUUAGCUAUUCCAUCCUUGAUAGAUCUGUUUGGUUGAACUCAAGCUAGGGGGAAACGGAUUCAUCCAAAAAAAUUACAGGAUUUAAAGAUGGUGAAAAUAAAAACGGAGGCUAAUAUAGUGACUCGUGACUUUGCAAGGUUUUGCUUCAGUUCUAAAGUUGAUGGUGUGUUAUUUGGUUUUGUGACUUCUUGUAUAGCAUGCUUCGUUCAUACUUAUUGUAUGAACAUUUCUUAAUUAAUACAUGGGGUUAAAAAUCUUUUUUAUAUAAAAUAGUUACUAGAACAUUGGCUAAGACUCGAAGACCAUUUACCAGACUACAUUUAUGAAUCCUAACCAUCUUUUACUCAAGGGCAUACAAUUCCAAAUAGUAUUACCAUGUCCUAAGAACUUAUACAUCCUUUCCAACUUUCCUCUUGCAAUCAUAAUGUGCCCAUGUUAAAUACAUUCAUUUAGCCAAAUCUUUUGAAAUAAUUAAAUGGUACUUCAUCAUUAGGGCCCUCACACCUAAAUGGAUGCUUGGUGACUUUAUCAUGUUAAUUAAUGAAUGCAUUUCCAUUACCACCUUACUAUCAAUAUAAAUGGUUAACAUUUUGUUACUUUUAAGGGGCCUGAGGUAUUCAUCAAGGUUGUCCUUUUUAUUUGCAUCUCUUUUUCCUUUCAAUUAGUGAAUAUUCACAUUCUCUACAUAAUGGAUGAGUUCCAAUAGUUUUACUGACAUCGAGUGAGGCCCUCUUGUCCCCCUUAUGCACCCUCUCAUGUUUUUAGAUGCCCUUAACAUUUGUGGCUCAUCAUCUAUAAAUGAUGGUUGUGCAUGGCAAUUUACUAAAAAUGGCUAUUGAAAUGCCAAAUGUAGGUAGGUAUGAUUGUAGUUUCCAAGAGAUGUUGGGUUUAUGUGUAGGAGGACAAGCGUAGAUCCACCAACAGAUUUGCAGAAAAAACAAGCAUGCAUGCAGAUUCGUGCUCCUAUAGUCAACGUGGUGAACAGGGAAGAACAUAGUACGUACAGAUUCUGGUCAGCUUCUGCUGGAGCUCAGUGAGGUGGUCGCUCUUGGUGACGCGGAAGAGGUUCUCGGCGAAGAUGUUCUGGGGCACCUCGACGCCAGUGGGGUUCGCCGUGCCGAUGCCGAGCAUGGCCGCGGGGCCUUCGGCGUGCUGCCGCCGCGCCACCGCGGCACCACCGUGCCCGAUCCCGUUGCCGUUGGCGGUUCCGAUGCUUCCCAUGGCCGAUCUUUCGGAAGCAGGAGCACUACUCUUGUUUGCUGGGCAGGGAUCACUAGUCGCUAGCUUUGUGAUCGAAUGAAGCUUCAAUGGCAUGCAGCAGCUUGGUCUAAUGGGGUAUGUGCUGGGCUCAGGAUUUAUAGUCUGUUUCCUUGGCUGGCUGGCUGGCUGCAAGCUGAACUGUCUGUUGGAGUGGCUGCCCUGGCAUUAAUUAUCGUGUCAUCGUAACCAACAAUCCCGACAUGCCGGUGUCGGGGAACAUGGUCAUAGGAGAGGAUCUCAUCUCAUUUCAUCACGAUGUGUACGUGUGUAUGUUUUGGCAUUGGUUGCAACAUCUACACGGAGGAUCGGCGAGGAGCGGAUCAACUAGCAGAAAGCUAGCUUUGUAAUGUGAGUAGAUCGAUCAGAGGUAGCCGGCUUGCUUCAUUGUUGUCAUCAUUUACCAUCACUUCGUCACCACAAAAUACUCGACGUCGAGCGUGGGCCAACAAGGAUGCAUCAACGUCGAGCGUGAGUAGAUAUAUUUUUUCUCCAAUGACGCCCAAUGCAAGCAUGCACUACUACAGGAAGAACUUUUUUCUUCUCCUUUUUUUAGAUAAGGGUGGUCAGCUUUGUUUAUUCAUUCAUAAUGUUCAAUGGUAAAAAAAUCUGGUGACUCCAGUAACCAAAGAUGCUGGCCAGACGGCAGAGAAGGAGCUAAUUUAGUCAUGUGGAGAGGGUGAAGUAACAUCCACGGGCAUAGUAAGCCGGGGGCACAAAUGCUUGGGCAAGGCCAUCAAGUCUUUUGGCAAGUGGAAUUGCACUCAAACCUGCUGCAUUGAAGUGGAAUGGGUACUGCUGAUCCCCCCCACCCGCGUCACUCUCCAGGGGGGCGGCUCGGGUGACCUAACCCCGUCGCCACCGCCACCCCCUCCUGCUCCCUCCCCCCUCGCCGCCGUCGGGCGUCCUCGCCGGGCAAAGCCCGUGCGGCUGCCGGCGGCGGCGGGCCUUUUCUCUCUCGUCUCGCGUGGAGGCCAGCCCUGGACGGCGCGCCGUGCGUCGUGGAGCUGCGCGCCGGCGCGGAUCUGGCCCUCCGGCCUCUUCUGUGGCGCGGUGGCGCUGGAUGCUGGGGCGGCGGCCCCAGGGAGCGGCGGCCCCCUCCUCUCUGUCUUCCUCGCGGUGGAGGAGCGGCGGCUGGCCGUGUUGGCGGCGGAUCGGGGCUUUUCUGCUUGGAUCUGGUGGGCGCGCGCCAUCGGCGGGAUGCGGCGGUGCUGGUCGUCCUGGGCCGCGUGGGUGGCAGGGCGGCUGCGCGUGGUGGAGGCUCCGGCGGCUCUGGUUGGCGGCGAUGGAGUUGCUGAUCCCAUCUUGCCUGGCCGGAGACGGCUCUCUCGGCUAGGCUGGUGUUUGGCGAGGUGCAGUGGUGUGCCCUGGCUAGCGUGGUGCUGGCUGGGGCUGCUAGUCUCCCCAGGCCAGUAGCCUCUGCGUGGUGUAGGUCGCGCUGCCGGUGGUGGGUCUGGCGCUACUCUCUCUCGGCGUCGGUCCGUUGGUGGAUGGUGGAGGGCAUGUGCCGCGGAUCUGGUGCAGGCUCGGCGUGGUGGUGGCCCGUGGUGGCCUGCAACAGCGGCUGGUCGCGCGGGAGUGUGCCCGGCGGCUCCAACGCUUGGAGCUCGUCGGGCGGCGCGGGUUGGGCAGCGGCCCGGUGUGGUUGUGGCUCUGGCCGUGGAUGGCUCCACGGUGGCUUGGCAGGUCGACUGUGGCAGCGGCAGGCAUGUUCCGGCGUUGGCUGGCCCGUAGGCGGCGUGUGUCGACCUUCGAUCCCUCUCCUCGUCGUCCGAAUGCUACCUUCGUCGAAGGUUCGGCCCUUCCCUGACUAUGGGCCAUCGCUCGUUUCACGCUCGGCAGCAGGACCGAGCUUGUCUCGCGCCCGGCAGCAGGACCGGCCUCGUCUCGCGCCCGGCAGCAGGACCAUGCUUGUCUCGCGCCCAGCAGCACGACAGUGCUCGUCUCGCGCCAGUGUCUUGGACGGGCCGAUGGCGGCCAGUUUUGGCCGGCCUAUUGGGUUUCGGCGUUAGGAGCGGCUCAGGCGUGCAAAAGGCGGGUCCUUUUCUGCCCAUAUCUUUGGUUGGGGUAGCGGUGGGUGGCGGGUGAGGUGGCGUCAAGGUCUUGGAUGCUAGGGCGGCGGCCCUGGUGGUGGUGUCGCGGUGCUCUUGGGCAAAGCCCGUGACUUGGUGCUGCCUGGUGGCCAUGGCCUUGUGGGCGGCGUGGUAGCCAGGGUGUGGCGUUCGGUGGCGGUGAAUAUUGGUCGGGGUGAAAACCUGUUCUAUCUUCGGAUUGACCGGCGACGGCGAAGCUCGUUCCCUUCUUGAAGGCGUCGCCGCGACUCUCGCUGCCCAUCGUGUUGCUCCGGGGGAAACUCUGAUCCUUGGGUCGGGCGGUGGCGGCGCUUCGGUGUCGUAACCUUCCUGUAGGCACCGCCUUGGAGCCCACGGUGCGUCAUAUGUAGCUUCUUCUCUACGCGGUGGCGUGUUCACGGUUGAGGCCCCGAGGGCUCUUGUAGUGCUAGGGGUGGUGUUGCUGCGCUCAGCGCCUAUGUAUCCUGCCUUGGGUGUGUGCGUGUGUUGUGGUGGCGUGUGUUGUACUGGGUUGUUGGUGAUCUUUGCUUUAUAUGUAAAGCGGGGCGAAAGCCUUUUUCGAUAAUUUAGUCAUGUAUAAUUUGCUUCGCAUUUCCAGCUUUCAUAUUUAAAACUACUCCCUCCGUCCCGUAAUGUAAGACGUUUUUUCACGUUAGUGUAGUGUCAAAAAACGUCUAACAUUAUGAGACGGAGUAGUACAUUAUGUAGGUUUUGACUUUUGACCACAGCGGGCAAUCUCCAUUAAGAUGGCCUUCUAGUGCUGAGAAGAAAUCAACGUCGGCAACAGACUGUCAUCACAGCACCAAUCAUACUUCAGAGGUAGCGUUUGGACACCAGGGCUCUUAUUUGUCGCUCUAUGCGACCAACGAUGGAGCAAUGCACAGUGCACAUGGGCCGGCCCGCGAUGACGAUUCCGUUACCAAGCGCUCCCAUCCGGUUUUCUAGUAGUUUGUUUCUCUGCUAUGCCAUUUUAGUCGGGUUUUAUGUUAUUCCAUACAAACACGAACAAUGUUUUAUAAUGUGAGUAAUUUAGAUGAACUUUUUAUUUAAAUGUGUGAGUGUUUCUUUAAAUUUCAUGAACAUUUUUAAACACCAUUAACACUUUUAUAAGCACAUGCAUUUGAACAAAUAUUCAUCUCAUGUUGAAAAAGUGUUCAUGUGUAUUUGAGAAAAAUAUUCACAUACACAAUAAAAUGUGUUAUUAGUAACUAACAGAAAGAAAAAAACGAAAAACUAGGGGAGGAAUAAAACCUGUGAAAAAUAAAUAACCACAAAAAUAGAAAAAUAAACCACCAGAAAAAGGCAAAGACAUAGACAAAAAUAGUGAAAUGAAUUUUCUGCACUUUACAGAAAAUGUGUAGGCCCAAUUCGGCCUGAGCUCAAAAAACAAUAUAUCAAAAUCUUAAUCAAUUACUGUGUAAUCAUGUGUCCUGUGAAUAAAUGUAGCAUUCCACAUAUACUUUAAAAUAAAAUGUGAAUUUUCACAUGUCCCGGGCUUCAUCUCCCUCGGCUACGGCUACUUUCACUUCAUUAUUUCAUAUAUAUCAUACAUAAUGUGUAUUAAAGAUAAACAAUUAUACCUUCAUAGUUGGCAUAUAGUAUCUCGACAAGUAAUGAACAAUGCAUUGAAUCCAUCGAUUUGGGGUUUGAAUCCACAUAGUAGCAAGUUUUCUUAUAUUUUGGUUAGUUCUCUUGGUUCUUUUCCUUUUUUAUAUAUAGCACAUAGCACAAGUAGGAGUAAUUUUUUAUUUAUAUGCGUACUAUUUUGUCUUCUACCUAAUUUUAAAUAGAUGUACUUAAAAUCCAUGGCCCGCCCAUGAUAGUAGAGGGAGCUUUAGUUGGCGUAGAUCCCUAUUUGCAAAGUAUUUUGGUGGAAGAGAACCAAAAAUUAGAUGAAUAUGACUCACUAUGGAUAUAAAAAAGAGGGUUUAGUCCUAGACCGGGACGAUUUUUGGGAUAGCUUUAUAAAGACUGAUUUGAUAAUGCUCCUAGGCCCAAUGCGGCCUGAGCUCCAAAAACAAUAAUUUCAAAAUUUAACCAACUACUAUAAUCAUUUUUUUUAGAGAGUGUUUAAUCAUUUGUUGUGUGAAUAAAUGUAUGCCAGCAAUACUUUAAAUAAAAACAAUGAAUUCUCACAUGUUUCGGGCUUCGUCUUGUUCGGCCACAUGACUACUUCCACUAUAGAUCCAUCAAAUUACUUGAAAGAAAGAGAAGUAGUGGUCAUUGCCACGGCAAGUAUGUCCCAUGAAAAAUAGAAUCAUCAAAAUUUGAAACGUCAUACAAAAUAUACAUUGCUCAGAAAAAUAAAUUCCAACCAUCAACCUCAACAUGGCAUAUAGAAUAUAAUAAUAAAAUUUUGAAAUAGUUACACUUAACUAAUAGAAGAUAUAAAAUUGACAACAUAGGCAUGUUAACAAGGUAGCCUGCUUAUUAACAAAAUACAUAGUUGGUGCCGACAUACAAACAAAUGUGUUGGAGUUCAGAUGUACGCACAAUAUAUCAUAUAUUUAUUUACCUUGCUCAGGGAGAUUUUUUUUUCCAACUAUCGAUCUCAACAUAAUAUAUAGUUUCAUAAAAAUACAAUAAUAAUUCUGGAAAUUGCUACUCUUAAUUAACGGGCUGAAGAAAUAAAAAAUGACAAGACAGGCAUGUUAACAAGGUAGCCUGCUUAUUAACAACACACAUAGUUCAUGUGCACAUAUGCAAACAAACGUGCUUGAGUUCGAUCGGGUAUAUACGUGCAACAUAUCAUGUCCAUUAGUAUGGCCUAUUUCGCCGCGUUCUCAU